GCAAGGAACAGUGUGUUAAAACACAAAGGUUAAGCAUCACAAGAAAGUAACUUUUUUUCUUUGUUUCUCUUUGUUCUGUAGAAUUGGAACAAAGUGACUUUGAUAAAGUCAGAGGAGGGGAAUUUCAGAUACACUGUGACUCAAUUACCAGAGCUAGAAAACUCCUGAUGUCCAGUGUCAAGCUCUCUUUAGGCUCAUAACAAAAUAGCAAGGCCAUGUGUCCAGAAAGCAUAACCAGACAGCUCUGCUGCCUGCUUUUCAAUGCCAAGCUGAAAAUGCUGUACUGAAGGACACUGAUUUCCUGUAUCAUCACUAAGUUUGAGACUGUUUCCCAAACAGCAGCAGAUGCCCAGAGAAUCAGAUAUGACUGUCCCUUAGUGUUUUCUGAUGUCAUUUCCAGCUCCCAUAGAAAAUGCAAAUAGGACAAAUCAACUUAAACCCAACUGACCUGGCAUC